rnacentral:rRNA from 1 species
AGAGUUUGAUCAUGGCUCAGAAUGAACGUUGGCGGCGUGGAUUAGGCAUGCAAGUCGAGCGCGAACCCCGCAAGGGGUGAAAGCGGCGAAAGGGACAGUAAUACGUAGAUUAUCUGCCCUCGGGACCGGGAUAGCUGCGGGAAACUGCAGGUAAUACCGGAUAACAUCUCCGGAUCAAAGGUGUGAUUCCGCCUGAGGAUGAGUCUGCGUCCUAUUAGCUUGUUGGUAGGGUAACGGCCUACCAAGGCAAUGAUGGGUAGCGGGUGUGAGAGCACGACCCGCGUCACUGGGACUGAGACACUGCCCAGACACCUACGGGUGGCUGCAGUCGAGGAUCUUCGGCAAUGGGCGCAAGCCUGACCGAGCGACGCCGCGUGCGGGAUGAAGGCUUUCGGGUUGUAAACCGCUGUCAGAGGGGAUGAAAUGUAGGUGGGUUCUCCCAUCUAUUUGACAUAUCCUCAGAGGAAGUACGGGCUAAGUUCGUGCCAGCCGCCGCGGUAAUAC